AAAACUUGGUGAAAGGACUCUGAUACAAGUCGAUGAGUCAGUGAAACACUGAUGAGUGUGAUAUUGAGGAAGGGGCGCAGCAGAUUGCUAAUAUAGCUGGCAGCCACAGAAAGAGCGCAAACGUCCAGCGAUAAUCAAAGGAAGACGAGGCUGAAUUGGUUCUCUCCUGCAGAAGCUACCUGCUGGGCAGAGCCUGCCCUCCGCUAACCCCGUCCUCCCUCCCCGUCACUACACAGAGUUUAGCUGUGGAAGUGGUUCGAAUAUAGCCGCUUUAUAUUAUCAUUUGAGUGGGCUAAAGAGCCACUUAUGAUACAGUCAAUGGCAGCGAGGGAGCGGCGCGAGCAAACCCGAGAGGCACACCUGAGAUGCAGCUCCACGUUCACCUGCGAGCGUGAAGGGGACGCUGCUGAAAAGACAGCUCGCUUAAGAGGAAGACGAGGCUCCCGCCGAAAACAUGAAUUGCUUCGACAAAUCACCGUUGAGCUGGGGAGGCAUUUAUCUGCCCGCGUGCAGCUAAACAUGCAGGUUGCGAUAUGGAUACCGCAUCAGGACUUCAAAAUGAGCCGCUGUGAAAGAGCUACCGUUGGCGAGGAGUGAAAACGCAGCAGUGCUGAAGCACAAUAGGAAGAAGCAGACCUUUAUGCGGAGGAAUAAGUCGUGCUGGGAGAGCUUUGUGUUCCCGUGACAAGAAGGAUGUCUGUGGCAGCCACUGAGGUGGGUUUCCCACUGAAACCCUGCACAUCCUGAACUGGUCCAUUUCACUGAUUACUCAUCGUGUCUGCAGAUGUCUGUGUGAACUUGCUCCACCUGCAGAUGCUGUGAUACCGCAGCAUUUCUACGGAUUUGCUUAUGAUUGAGCUCGCAUAAUGAAAGCCCCAAUACUCACUUUUCUAUACUGUUCUAACUCAGCGUGCAAGGUGUGUGAAACUGCAGGUAACCAUAGCAACAAUACUUCUUCAUGAUGUGUUACCAGUUAACUGUCACUGGAUCAAACUAACAGCUUUACUCCUUCAUUUGCUGGCGCUGGUAAGCAAGGGUUUUAAACCCUCAUGCUGUAUGGUGUAAUUCAGUUCAGUUUUAUUUAUAUAGCACCAAAUUACAACAACACUCGUCUUAAGGUGCUUUAUACUGUAAGGUAAAGACACAAUAAUAGAGAAAAAACACAGCAAUCAGAUGACCUCCUGUGAGCAAGCACUUGGCGUCAGUGGGAAGGAAAAACUCCCUUUUAACCGGAAGAGCCAGCUCGGACUGAACCCCCCGGCUGCUGCCUCCCCUCACGCUGGGGCUGAGGGGAGGGAGACCGGACAAUAGACACACUGUGUAAGAGAGACUAACUUAGCUGACUGACAGCCAUCUAUAAGUGAUCUUAUUACCAGUUCUACUCUACCUGGGAACUUUACACAACUUGCCUCAUUCACCCAUUCAUACAAGCUUCUGUUCUUCUUAAUCUAACAUUCACACGCUGAUGGAAACAUCAGAGAGCAACCUGGGGUUAGUAUCUUACCCAAGGACAUUUGGCAUGCAGACUGGAGCAGUCAGGGAUUGAACCAGCAACUUUCUGACUAUUAGAUGAUCUGCUCUGAAUCUUGAGCUAUGCAAAAGAUCCCCAUUUCAGUUCUGGGAGACACAAAACCCUUUAGGAUUGUGUCAUGAAAGGGAUCGGGCGUCAAAAUCUGCUCAGUCAAACAUGCACAGCUACUCAGUGUAGCAGCCUGUUGAGAAUAAGGGAGCAAUUGAAACAAGUUUUCUUAAUUGCUUUUUAAAAGCAGUACAACAAUAGAUUAGCCAGUUAUUAGAAAUGGUCAUUUUUUCGACUGAUCGCCUAUGACCAGUGAGUGACCUGCAAGACUUUGCAGCGAUGCACCUACAUGAACACACAUCACAGCGUUUAUAGUCUAAAUUGCUGUGCCUGUCCUUAGUCGAGCUUUUAAAACAAUGAGAAGAAUCUGUACAAUAAACUAUACAAUACAAUAAAUUAAGAAAUGAUUGUGGAUGCUGGAGGGGAUCAUAAAGUCAGGCCGAGAUAUUCUACCUCUUUAAAUUGAAAUUUCACCACAUGGUUUUUAUCAUACUGUUUGUUUACUUCCACUGCUGCAGAAU